rnacentral:rRNA from 1 species
AAUCAACGCUGGCGGCGUGCCUCAGACAUGCAAGUCGAACGAUUAAAGCUCUCUUCGGAGAGUGUAUAGAGUGGCGCACGGGUGAGUAACACGUAAGUAAUCUACCUUUGAGUGGGGAAUAACAUCGGGAAACCGAUGCUAAUACCGCAUAAUGCAGCGGCAUCGCAAGAUGACAGUGUUAAAGAAUUUAUUCGCUUGAAGAGGAGCUUGCGGCAGAUUAGCUAGUUGGUAAGGUAAUGGCUUACCAAGGCUACGAUCUGUAACCGGUCUAAGAGGACGGUCGGUCACACUGACACUGAAUAACGGGUCAGACUCCUACGGAGGCAGCAGUCGGGAAUAUUGGACAAUGGCGCAAGCCUGAUCCAGCCAUGCCGCGUGAGUGAUGAAGGCCUUAGGGUUGUAAAGCUCUUUCGUCCGGACGAUAAUGACGGUACCGGAAGAAGAAGCCCGGCUAACUUCGUGCCAGCCGCCGCUGU